UAACAUACUCCAAGCAAACAAAAUUAAAGUAAACAAGCAUGGCUAGUAGCAGAGUUUGUGUCCUCACUGUCCUCUUCUUGUGUGUUUUUCUACUGGAAAGAAAUUAUGUUGAAUCUACAAAAGGCAAGUUUUGUACAAUGGAGCGUAUGGACAAUGUGAGUUACAUGACUUGCCCAUCUUCGGGAGAUAAGAAGCUUCGUGCAUCAUGCAUCAACUGUUGCAGAACACCAAAGGGCUGCAAACUUUUCAAUUCAGACGGACUCAUAUGUACUGGAACCGAUUGACUUUUGAGAAUUAUCAAAAGGGAUAUUACAAAUUUAAUUCCAAUCAACUAUAUGUAAGGAAGUCCGAGUUUAUGCGCGUUUACGUUUCAUGAUAUCUGUAUUAAAAUAACGAACUUUGCAGUGUU